UGCCUGUGUUGGAGGCAUACACGGAGAA
rnacentral:sRNA from 1 species